ensembl:lncRNA
GUGACUAAUUGGCAGUAAGCUUGGAGAGAAUAAAUCCUGUUUUUUGAGUACUGAGAUUGGAUGGACAUGGUAUCUUUUAAGUUUAAAAAGGAGGUUCUAACGCACCCUCAGCCAUCAGAUAUGCAUGUUCUGUUUCUUCAUUACUGCAGCUGCUCUCCAAGGUUCUCCUUUGGGAUGGGACUGUACAGGAAGACACAGUCCGUGGUGUGGGACUGAGCAAGCUGCUGAAUCGUUACCUUCUUCUGAACCUCUUCAACACACCACCAGGGCCAGAAAACAUAGAGAAGUGUAAAGAGGUGGUUGCAUGCUUCCCAGAAAGGUGGUUCCAAAAUCUUGGAAGUGGGUCAACUCUCCCUGAGUUCAGUGAACUUCUGCCAGCAUUUGGUUCAGUGAGCACGUAUGCUUCACAGGAAUAACCACAGGUAACAAACAACAUGUUCUUUGGGAUGCAGCACUUCCUCAUAUUCUUUAUGUUAGUAUUUCUUUUAGGGACGUGGUUCAAUGGGCAUGGUGGUGAUGGGUUGACAGUUGGACUAGAUGAUCUUUGUGGUUUUUUCCAACCUUAAUGAUUCUAUGAUUCUUAAAUUCCUCAAGUCCUCAUACAUUUAACACUUUCAGUGAUGUAUUUCCAACAUCUAUGUACAACAAAAGAUGCAAUCCAUAAUGUAAAAUGGAUUGCUUUUGCAGUACUAGUUCAGGCUAGUUUGAGGCUCUAGAUGUUGGGUGCAGUUAGUGGUCAGUGUAGCUAAAGGCACCAGAUGACAGUUAGGGAGAGUUCCCUGUCUCUUUUAAGUACGUUUCAGCUUUAUUGAUUUUGAAGUCAGAUGUGAAUGUGUUGCUAUAUCAACUUGUUUUUUUAAUAGUGAUGAAACUGAAGUUGUUGUUCUCCUGUUGGUGAAAGUCAAGGCUCUGAAUAUUGCUGAAGAGCUCAUUGAAGAGUGCAAACUGGAACAUCUUAAAUCUGUGAUCAGGAAAUAAGGAUUUCUUUGAAGCAGCAGUUCUUUUACUGAAACAAGCCUGAUGCUCACUCUAAAAAAGUGGGAAUGUUGAAUGAGUGGACUGCCUACAGUUGUUUUACUGUGAAAUAUUUUGGUUUUUUUUCCAAAUGUCUUCUGAUGCCAUCUACUCCUAGAUAAAAUCACAAUCGUCAGUGUAAAGUGAAGGUGUUCUGAAAUAUAUGACAAAGCCUCAUUGCUUUGUUCUUUUGGGAAGGAUGACUGCAGUAAGUGCCUGUAAUGUUACCACUGCUAGUGAGCAGACAACUUCAGAAGCUGUUUUCAGUACCACACCAAAUCACUCUGACUCAGGAGUCACUGAACUCUAACUUAUUGUCCACUUAAUGAGAUAACUCUACCAAACUCGCAGUGAGUUCUUCUCACUUAGAAAGCUUGUCAUAGCUUUUUGAUCCUGACACAGAAGCAGGAAUUCUGUGUGCAGUGAGAAGUUUGAUCUGUGAACAUCUACUGAUGGUAAGUGGGUGUUCAGGAAGGCAAGAAGUUGCAAAGGAGAAUGUCUUAACUACGCUUACUCUUCUCCAGAGUAUGAUUUGUAGUGGAGCUUUGUACUUGAGAUAUACACUGGACUUUGUGCACAGACUUGGAGUUGUCACACACCCUCAUCUAUCAGACAAGCAGAACAACAACUCCAGUUACCUUCUAGUAAUUGGCUCUCUAAGGACAUUUUACUUUUGCUUCCCUGUGAGACCCAUUAAACCUCAUUUCACUGUACCCAUGUUAGAUUUCUAAUGUUGUGUAACUUUGUAUAUGUGCAGUAAAUAUUACUGCUGCAGAAUAAAAAGGAUGUUUUAUUGUAGAAAUAGCAGUGCGUCACAAAUUCUGCUAAAGUUUGCUAUUGCCUGUUUCUCUAAAAUGUUAUGGGUCUUCCAUUUAACUCUUGGAGGCUUUUAUUCCCUAUGAUUUUUCUCUUUUUUUAUUACAGAAUAUAUAUUUUUGUGAACUAUUUUAAUUGUAAAUAGCAUUCAUCAGUGUUAUAGACAAAAAUGACUUCUAAAAUAAAAGCAAAGCAAUUAUUUUGAAAAGUAAAGAUAUUUUUGUGUUAAUGAGACUUCAAACACUUUCAAGUCUUGAACAUGACAAGGAAUGUUAUGUGAAGUAUGGAAAAAAAACUUUGGCACUGCUGGCACUUCAUUAUCUGCAGGAUUUAGGAGUUCUGUUGUAAGUAAUUGUGCACUUCUACUUUCCUGAGUGCAAAGAAAAUACAAC